UGAGGAAUAUUGGUCAAUGGACGUGAGUCUGAACCAGCCAAGUCGCGUGAAGGAAGAAGGUUCUAUGGAUUGUAAACUUCUUUUAUACGGGAAUAAAGUGCGCCACGUGUGGUGUUUUGUAUGUACCGUAUGAAUAAGCAUCGGCUAACUCCGUGCCAGCAGCCGCGGUAAUACGGAGGAUGCGAGCGUUAUCCGGAUUUAUUGGGUUUAAAGGGUGCGUAGGUUGUUUUUUGAAGUCAGCGGUGAAAGUUUGUGGCUCAACCAUAAAAUUGCCGUUGAAACUGGAAGACUUGAGUGUGUUUGAGGUAGGCGGAAUGCGUGGUGUAGCGGUGAAAUGCAUAGAUAUCACGCAGAACUCCGAUUGCGAAGGCAGCAUACCGGCGCCCGACUGACGCUCAUGCACGAAAGCGUGGGUAUCGAACAGGAUUAGAUACCC
rnacentral:rRNA from 1 species